rnacentral:rRNA from 1 species
GAUGAACGCUGGCGGCGUGCCUAAUACAUGCCAGUCGAGCGAACAGACGAGGAGCUUGCUCCUCUGACGUUAGCGGCGGACGGGUGAGUAACACGUGGAUAACCUACCUAUAAGACUGGGAUAACUUCGGGAAACCGGAGCUAAUACCGGAUAAUAUAUUGAACCGCAUGGUUCAAUAGUGAAAGACGGUUUUGCUGUCACUUAUAGAUGGAUCCGCGCCGCAUUAGCUAGUUGGUAAGGUAACGGCUUACCAAGGCAACGAUGCGUAGCCGACCUGAGAGGGUGAUCGGCCACACCGGAACUGAGACACGGUCCAGACUCCUACGGGAGGCAGCAGUAGGGAAUCUUCCGCAAUGGGCGAAAGCUUGACGGAGCAACGCCGCGUGAGUGAUGAAGGUCUUCGGAUCGUAAAACUCUGUUAUUAGGGAAGAACAAAUGUGUAAGUAACUAUGCACGUCUUGACGGUACCUAAUCAGAAAGCCACGGCUAACUACGUG